GCAUGGAAUAAUGGAAUAGGACCUCGGUUCUAUUUUGUUGGUUUUCGGAACGGAGGUAAUGAUUAAGAGGGACAGACGGGGGUGUCCGUACUCUGCCGUUAGAGGUGAAAUUCUUGGAUCGGCGGAAGACGAACUACUGCGAAAGCAUUCACCAAGAAUGUUUUCUUUAAUCAAGAGCGAAAGUCAGAGGUUCGAAGACGAUCAGAUACCGUCCUAGUUCUGACUAUAAACGAUGCCAACUAGCGAUCGGGAGGCGUUACCAUGACGACCUUCCCGGCAGCUUCCGGGAAACCAAAGUCUUUGGGUUCCGGGGGAAGUAUGGUUGCAAAGCUGAAACUUAAAGGAAUUGACGGAAGGGCACCACCAGGAGUGGAGCCUGCGGCUUAAUUUGACUCAACACGGGGAAACUCACCCGGCCCGGACACAGUAAGGAUUGACAGAUUGAGAGCUCUUUCAUGAUUCUGUGGGUGGUGGUGCAUGGCCGUUCUUAGUUGGUGGAGCGAUUUGUCUGGUUAAUUCCGAUAACGAACGAGACUCUGGCAUGCUAAAUAGUUACGCGACCUUCUCGGUCGGCGUCUAACUUCUUAGAGGGACUAGUGGCGUUUAGCCACACGAGAUUGAGCAAUAACAGGUCUGUGAUGCCCUUAGAUGUCCGGGGCCGCACGCGCGCUACACUGAAUGAAUCAGCGAGUCUAUCCUGGGCCGAAAGGUCUGGGUAACCCGGUGAACCUCAUUCGUGAUUGGGAUAGGGACUUGCAAUUGUUUCCCUUGAACGAGGAAUUCCCAGUAAGCGCAAGUCAUCAACUUGUGUUGAUUACGUCCCUGCCCUUUGUACACACCGCCCGUCGCUACUACCGAUUGAAUGGUUUAGUGAGAUCCUUGGAUCGGCCCCGUCGCGGCUGGCAACGGCCGCGUCGGCGCGUCGAGAAGACUAUCCAACUUAAUCAUUA
rnacentral:rRNA from 1 species